rnacentral:piRNA from 1 species
UAGCAGCUAUCCCUUCCCUGGGGAGGUCU